rnacentral:rRNA from 1 species
UACGUAGGGUGCAAGCGUUGUCCGGAAUUAUUGGGUCGUAAAGAGCUCGUAGGCGGUCUGUCGCGUCUGCUGUGAAACUCAAGGGCUUAACCCCGGGCCUGCAGUGGGUACGGGCAGACUGGAGUACUGCAGGGGAGACUGGAAUUCCUGGUGUAGCGGUGGAAAUGCGCAGAUAUCAGGAGGAACACCGGUGGCGAAGGCGGGUCUCUGGGCGAGUAACUGACGCUGAGGAGCGAAAGCGUGGGGAGCGAACGGG